CACGAGUUAUCUAGCCCGCUGGGCGGCGGCAUCGUCCGUCGCUUGGCAAAAGUCCUCGACAACCUCAUCUUUUCGGAGUUGGGGCUCGGGGUAAAAGAACCCACGGCGCCGAAAGGCGUCAAGGAACACUGUGCCUAACGAGGGGAUGUGGCUGGCUUGCUAGCCGCACCCCGAGUUGCAAUUCUAUAUAAUCCACACGAACUCUCGGCAACGGAUAUCUCGGCUCUCGCAUCGAUGAAGAACGUAGCGAAAUGCGAUACCUGGUGUGAAUUGCAGAAUCCCGCGAACCAUCGAGUCUUUGAACGCAAGUUGCGCCCGAGGCCUCUUGGCCGAGGGCACGCCUGCCUGGGCGUCACGCCAAACACGCUCCCACCCAACUAACUUGGGGUGGGACGCGGCAUGUGGCUCCUCGUCCCGCAAGGGGCGGUGGGCCCNAAGAUCCGGCUGCCGGCCUAUCGUGCCGGACACAGCGCGUGGUAGGCG
rnacentral:rRNA from 1 species